AUUGAACGCUGGCGGUAUGCUUAACACAUGCAAGUCGAACGGCAGCACGAGAAAGCUUGCUUUCUUGGUGGCGAGUGGCGGACGGGUGAGUAAUGCAUAGGAAUCUACCUCGAAGCGGGGGAUAACCCGGGGAAACUCGGGCUAAUACCGCAUAAUCUCUACGGAGGAAAGCAGGGGAUCUUCGGACCUUGCACUUUGAGAUGAGCCUAUGUCAGAUUAGCUAGUUGGUAGGGUAAAGGCCUACCAAGGCAAUGAUCUGUAGCUGGUCUGAGAGGACGAUCAGCCACACUGGGACUGAGACACGGCCCAGACU
rnacentral:rRNA from 1 species